rnacentral:rRNA from 1 species
CGGGUGUAGAGUACACGAGCGGCGGACGGGUGAGUAACGCGUGGGAAUCUACCCAACUGAGGGAUAAGCAUCGGAAACGGUGUCUAAUACCGCAUAUGGUCUUCGGAUUAAAGCUUCGGCGGUUUGGGAAGAGCCCGCGUAAGAUUAGCUAGUUGUGGGGUAAUGGCUCACCAAGGCGACGAUCUUUAACUGGUUUGAGAGGAUGAUCAGUCACACUGGAACUGAGACACGGUCCAGACUCCUACGGGAGGCAGCAGUGAGGAAUUUCCACAAUGGGCGAAAGCCUGAUGGAGCAACGCCGCGUGCAGGAUGAAGGCUUUAGGGUUGUAAACUGCUUUUAUAUGUGACGAAUAUGACGGUAGCAUAUGAAUAAGGAUCGGCUAACUCCGUG